rnacentral:lncRNA from 1 species
UUGGGCGCAGAGAGUUAAACCAUAUAUAUGUAGAUCAUUUAUUCAAUAAAAAACAUUAUGCGUCAGGAGCUGACAGAUCAUGAAGCCACAUACAUUUGGUGAAAAGCUACAAUAUAAAAAAAUAAAAACUCAUAACUAACAUGUAAACUACCAACUGUAGUUAUAAAAUACCAAAAUCUAUGAUUGAAAACACUCAUAUCAAUGAAAAUAUACAAUUCACAAAAAAAAGGGGGGAUAAUGUACUAAACUGACUUGACUAGAGUUGUACAAAAAUUGCUGUCUUCAUAAAAUUACAUAUGACUUAGAAAUAUACCAAAUAAUACUGUUUUCGGAUACAAAUAAAACAUUACAAAGUUCACACAUGAAUAUUUACACAAAUGUCAUCGUUCGUAGAAUGUACGCUGUUUCUAUAUAUGCUUUCUCAUGACUUAUACCCCAAAUCACUUAAUAAUAGCUUUAACUAGAAUAUAUGGGACAUAAUGGCAUUAUUACUUACAUCGUAAUUCACCAAGGGACAAGGAGAAUGAUAGUAUUCUGCGUGAUUUCGUACAAAAAUUUAUCUAGGCCAUGCUGCAGGAAGUGUAAAAACAAUGAGUAAAACAAAAACAAAGUCGGAUUAACCACAAUUAUCAAAAAAUGCAAGUUGCGUAUAAAGAGGGAUAACUCUAUCGAUAUUCUUGGCAUUACACUCCCCGUCUGAUAUGAAUAUAUCACUAAUAAAAUUUAACAAUACUUCAAAAAUCAAAAAGUUUUGUCCAAGUACACAAUCAAAAAU